UGCAUUCACAAUACUGCAUAGUUAAGGGUGGGUGCACCAGCCCACCAAUAGCACUAUUCAAGUGAGUCCUCAGGCCUUUGAAGACCUACGUAUGGACACUCUCCCUCAACUGCGAGAGCUAGGAAUAGAACAAGUAUCCUCAGGUUGGUGCUUGAAUAAGGAAAAUAGCGCUGGCAGUUGACGAUUCAGCAUAUUGCUGGUCACACCGGUUUUUAGCACAUGAUUUUUGGAAAUUGCGUAACAGAUGAUAUUUUGAUUUAUCUGAUUGUUGAUGCAGGCCAAAAGGAAAUUACGCAAGAGAACCGCUGCUAUGUUGAGGAGGGCAAUAUACC
rnacentral:sRNA from 2 species